rnacentral:lncRNA from 1 species
UUUCUUUUACAAUUUUUUAGGUGUAUGAAAAAUUAAAGAAACCAGAGAAGAAAUUAAAAAAAUUGUACCAACUAGCCCCACCCUCCCCUACAGCAAGCAUCUUUUUGUUAAUUCCGUUGUUGCCAUCAUUUCUAGUGAUUUUUCGUAAGAAUUGCCCAGCCCCAGUAAUAAAUGAAAUUGUGACAGUCCACAAUUAUGGUAGCUCAAGUUUAAUCCAGCGAUGAUUAACGACUCCAGCACAUACCUCUGCCACAUCUCUACCGACCCACCACUCAUUCGUUACAUCCCCUUUGAGAUUUCAGAUAAUAAUUUAUUCAUGCUCAAGCUACAAAGUUUUCUAUAGUUCCAUUGCAAAGCACCUACCAGUAAAACAUAGACAGAAUAUAAUUUUCUAAUCGGAAAUUUCCUUUUUUCUGGGGCAUUAGUUUUUUGGUUUCCGUUUCGUUUAUUUUAUACACCAGAAAAUGCGACUCCUAAAAUUUGAAUUAACAUUAAUUUAAAGAUUGCCACAUAGAUACUACGUAACAAUUUAGAGGAAGGAGAGGGAUAAUUCUUGAAAUCAGACUGGGUCUGCGAACCGGAUGUAAAGUGAGUUCCGUCAUUUGUCACGGUCACCCUUGGCCGGUUAUCGACGGACGAUGCGAUCUACAAACGGACGCCGGCGUUUUGGGUGCCUCGUACGUCUUGGUCGUAGCGUUGGCCGUGAUCGAUCGUCUUCCAGUUCGGAAAAGCAGCUGCGAUGACUUAAGACGAUGCAUCCGUUUUUACGGGUGUCCCACCAUUUGUCACGUUUUACGGCAUGAAAUGAAUAACGGAUACGCACCAACUACUUCCUUGCUCUGUGCACAAAGCAGAAGAGCUGGAACUAUCGCUGUAUAGCUUACGUUGGAACUAGCCUUAGAUCCGGCCCUGGGUUUUCCUCAUCCAUUUAGAAUAUGAAUGAUAUACCGGAACUCUGUAAGAAACCGAUAUGAAAUGUGGGCACAACACCCCCUAGUACAUCCGCAUAUUCCUCUUUUAGACUCUCGUUCACGUCAAUUCAGUUAUCUCGUGUUGUUUCAUCCGGCUCAUGUUUUUCUGCGUUGGUUGUGGAUAGAACAUGUUUUCUCACUUGUCGAUUAUAUGGGUUAACCCGGGAAUCUUGUGUAUUGAAUAAUUUGAAAGGAAAUGUGUGUCAAUUAGUUCCAGAACUGAUUUUCGAGAUCGUUGACAGUUUGACGGACGCAGCGCUAUCGUCGGACCAGAUCCUCUACUACUGCAUCGGCUCCAGCCUCGAACUAAACGCUAUUGGAUCAAACCGACGUACUUCCAUUGGCUCAAGUCGGGCAAUCCAGUGUCCGAUGAACUGUGGCGUGGUGGAAUCAGUAUUAUACACGGAAAUCCUUAAGCUUGGUCAGCUGGAAAAACAAGCUUAGCAUUGCCAACGCAAAGGUUAACGACGGAGGGAAUUACACUUACAGCCUAGAUUCGUUUUCCGUCAGUAUCGUCGCUCAUUUUCUUAAAGGGGCGAUAAGAAAAUACCGGAUUAGUUUCAUAAUCUGCAGACUAUUCGGCGUUGGCGUGCCGGAGAAGUAUAUUGCAUUCGGGAAGUUCAGCAAUUCAGAUUUUGAAAUUCGAUCCACAUUGUAUGUAGGGAUCUUUUGAAGGCUUUUUGAUACCCGACACAUCAGAGACGUGUUGAGUUAAAAAAAGGUUUUUCUGAUUGCACCUUCACUUCUUUCGGCAUUGAAAAACCACAUACUCUGUUAUUAAAAUCAUCUCCUAGCAAUCGAUUUUUCCAGAAAAUUGUAUUUAUUUAUUUUUCUCCAUGCCAUCAUCAAACGAAAUCAGCUUAAGAGUAGAGCCCAAUAUAAAAAGACAUCAAUGUGAA